AGGACGAGGUUGUGGAUGCUGAUAUUGCUGAGUUGGCCUUCUCUGCUGUUGUUGAGGUUGAGUUGCUGGAAUAGUCACACCAACAGCCUGACGACACUGUCCUCUGUUCGCGCUCCUCCGUCGGUGCACAGCAUUUGUUUCACUCUCUCCCCUUUUGGGUGCCCCAGAGUAUGUCUUCUUAGAACCGGAAGAACUUGAAGAGCC
rnacentral:lncRNA from 1 species